AAUACAGGAUGCUUAGUCAAAGGUUAAUUUCAGUUAAACAAUGAUUUCUUGUUCAUAAGUAUGUCCAUUCAAGUAUUUGGGACACACUUAUACUAAAAACUAUUUUUAUUUAUUUUAAAUUACAAUUGAGCUGGGAAUCCUGUAUUU
rnacentral:miRNA from 1 species